CUCAAUUACUUCUAAAAAUACAGAAUAUUCUCCCCUUUUUAUUUGACUCAAUUGCCCCUAAUUCAAAAUAUUUAUAUUCUGAAUUUUCUUUGACUUAAUUGUCCCCAAUUUCAAAUCCUAUUUCCAAAUUUCAAAUCCUAUUUCCAAAUUUCAAAUUUAAAGUUUCAAAUUCCCAUUGACUAAAUUACCCCUAAUUUGAAAUCCUAUUUAUUUUCUUGUUUAAUUAACCUUAACCCCUAGUCGACUAGCAUACUUGACUAGCCUAAUUGAUCUUAACCCAACCGGUUAGACCGAGUUGCCUUAUUUUUUGUUAAUUUUUUUUCCCCAAGGCUGCUCCUGUCGUUAGGGUUUCCUUUUCCUAUUAAGACCCCAAUUUUCAGAAUAUUACAUAAUUGUAAUACAAUGUUCUUCAGAAGAUCGAGAAUACAACUUGUACGUCACAGUUCUUUUAUUAUUUGGUUAUUUACAGUCUAUGGUUUUUAGUCCUUGAUAGAUAUUAGAUAUUUAAUAUUAUUUAUCUAAUAUAAGUUUUAUCUAUUUUUAUGAAUUUCUUUGUCGUUUUCUUUAUAUGUCGAUGUUUAUUUAUUCUUGUUCUAUUAAUGGGUUAAUAAAUUCUUGUUCUAUUUGAAGAAGAGAGUUUCCCACCUCUUCCUCAGGUACGUACCUUCUCCAAGUUAUAAGGGACCUGAUGGAGGCCAUUGAAUUCUUAGUCUACCCUCCUCCAUUAUAGUCUGGGGCAUAGAUGGGCAGGAAGGGGAAUCAUCUUUAGAUGGAGGUGAUUGCCACCACCAAGUCAGACUUUAUCACAUUCCGGUGAUGGAUAUACACUUCCGAUGUUAUAAAAUCAUAUAUAAAAAUCAAACCUUGUCUCUGAUACCAAAUGAUAGAAAUUAUCAUACUUUAUGAUCUAAGAUUUUUAUAUCAAGAAUGUAAUGUACUUACAGAUUCAAACGCAAUUUGUGUUGAAUCCAUUACAACGGAAGUACAGACUUGAUCUCUGUAUGUUUCUUUUGCCUUUCUCCUGAGAUUUUCUCUUUUUUGGGAUUCCUAAGACUUGUCUAUAUUGGAUGUCUUCUUUUGGACUAGUAGAAUAGAUGAUGUUUCUUUAACCCUCAUAUUUUAUUUAUAUAAAAGCAAUGGGAUAUUUACACAUUGAUCCAUAUAUUGAUACUUUAAUAUAAGGAGGUCUUGUUUAGGCUCCAAUAGGGACUUAGUCUUCCUUACUCUUUAUGACUUAGGUCAAGAGAUCACUAUUAUCAUAAAUCAUCUUGCCUUAUAGUAAUAUACACUAAUGUAUCCACAUGAAUGUAUCAUCACUUAAAUAACUUAAGACUUGUUAUUGUUAAUAUGUAAGUGUAGAUCAUUUACUUGAUAAUAUAACAAGAGAAAUUGCUAACAUUCUCCCACUUGAUCUACUAAACAUGUAUUGACCUUUAUUCAACCAUAUAAACAAUCUUUAAUGCAUGCUUUGUUUAUUUUUCUUUUUAAGUCUACACUCGGUCUCAUACAGACUACAAUAAUAAAUCACAGCGUCACUAUGUCUAAAUGUGCAACGUAGAAACUUCUGUGUAUCACAUUACGUUCGUCUUUAUUAACAUUAGCUUCAUGUGGUAGUACAACAAACUGAAUGAUACUUUAUAUAUGUAUCAUUCUUUUGUCAGUCCUCCGUAAUCUAAUCCUUAUGGUGAGCCCAUACUCACACUAGACAUUAUUUAUGAUUCUCAUGAACCAUAAAUCAAUUUAUGUAUCAUUUUUCUUCUUUAUUGUGAAAUACAUCACACACAAAAAAAAUGUAUACCUACUUUAUUAUUUUCUCAUUUUUAUUGUAAAAACCAUCACAAGAG
rnacentral:lncRNA from 1 species